GCAGUGAGCUGAGAUUGUGCCACCACACUCCUGCCUGGCAUUUGGAUCCCCUGGUUUUUGUCCAUGCUGCUGGGUUUCUGAAGCACAGCCCUCCCUAAACCUUGUUUGUGCCUACAUCAGAACUUCUGAACUUAUCCCUUGUUGAUGAGCGGAUGGCCUCAACUACAUCUUCAACGUCAGCGUAUUUCUGGUUCUCCUGGCCUUACCUUUCACCCCAUUGCUCCACCCCACUUCCCAUGAUCCUGGCACUGACAACAAGACUGCUGUGGUGAUGACGUAAAUUAAUGGUUUGAUUCAAUGCAGCAACUAGCAAGGAUGUGAAAGUAAAAGAUUUUGAUCUGAAAAA